GGGGGUGUAGCUCAGCUGGGAGAGGACUUGCCUUGCACGCAAGGGGUCAGGAGUUCGAUCCUCCUCAUCUCCACCA
rnacentral:tRNA from 1 species